rnacentral:rRNA from 1 species
UACGUAGGGGGCAAGCGUUGUCCGGAUUUAUUGGGCGUAAAGAGCGUGUAGGCGGCCAGGUAGGUCUGCUGUGAAAACUCGAGGCUCAACCUCGAGACGUCGGCGGAAACCAUCUGGCUAGAGUCCGGAAGAGGAGAGUGGAAUUCCUGGUGUAGCGGUGGAAAUGCGCAGAUAUCAGGAAGAACACCCGUGGCGAAGGCGGCUCUCUGGGACGGUACUGACGCUGAGACGCGAAAGCGUGGGGAGCGAACAGG